rnacentral:tRNA from 1 species
AGGCUCUGCAGUGAUAAGAAUACUAAAUUGCAAAUUUAGAGGUGUGUGAAUACACCAGAGUU